UAGUCCUACGGGACGCAGCAGUGGGGAAUAUUGCACAAUGGGCGAAAGCCUGAUGCAGCAACGCCGCGUGAAGGAAGUAGGCCUUCGGGUCGUAAACUUCUGUCCUUGGGGAAGAAGAACUGACGGUACCCAAGGAGGAAGCCCCGGCUAACUACGUGCCAGCAGCCGCGGUAAUACGGAGGAUGCGAGCGUUAUCCGGAUUUAUUGGGUUUAAAGGGUGCGUAGGCGGUCCGGAAAGUCAGCGGUAAAAGCCCGUGGCUCAACCCCGGCGAGCCGUUGAAACUGUCGGACUAGAGACGGCGAGA
rnacentral:rRNA from 1 species